rnacentral:lncRNA from 1 species
AGCAUCUCUGGGUCUCUGGCUCCUGGGUCUGCUGUCUUGGGAUAGGCUUUCGCCACUCGACUCUUUCUCUUGUCCACACAACUUUCCCCUCACCCCGAUCCUCUGUCGUCUUCUUUGUUUUUAAGUCCCUGUCUUCUGCCAGAAGGGCCGUCUGUGUAAUUCUGCGCCCUCUGUUUUCAGUUGGUGCGGAGAGGACCUGCCAGACUCGCGCAGUCAGGAUCAGCAUUUAGGACCUUCCGCUCUCGCUUGAGGAAAAUGCUUUUCUCUCUCCAUUUCUCAGUCCAGAUCUUGCAGUCGGUCUUUUCUCUCCUGUUAGUGGAUGUUCUCCUGCAGUUUUUAGUUCUCAGCACUUUUUUUUUUUUUUUUGGAGGAAGAUUAGCCCUCAGCUAACUACUGCCAGUCCUCCUCUUUUUGCUGAGGAAGCCUGGCUCUGAGCUAACAUCCGUGCCCAUCUUCCUCUAGUUUAUACGUGGGACGCCUACCACAGCAUGGCUGCCAAGCAGUGCCAUGUCCGUACCCGGGAUCCGAACCAGCGAACCCCGGGCCGCCGAGAAGCGGAACGUGCGAACUUAACCGCUGCGCCAUCGGGCCGGCCCCAGUUCUCAGCACUUUUGAAGAACGGUUCAGGUUCUGGCUGGAAUGAGUGGGUACAGAGAGCUGGGGCAGCCGGGUGCUUGGGCCAGGCGAGGAUUGGAUCCGGAGUGGCUUCCUCGCUGGUCUCUGAGGUGCUGAAUCGACCCAAGGGAGCCUGGCUUUGCAGUUGGAGGAGAUUGGUUUUGAGAGGAAAUCUGCUCUUGUUACCCAUGACAACUGAGACCAACAUAAAUAAUUCGUAUGAUCAAGUAAGUUCCAGAACCGGUGUACAGGUAGAAGUCCGCACCCAGCCCCAGUUGUCCAGCCCAGCCCUGGAAGCUGCUGACUCUAGAUCAGAGGUACUCAAACCGAGGUGGAGCGUCUCUUUGGCAAUAUUGUGACUGGAGAUAAACGGCCAGACUAGAAGCUGUUUGAAAGGUGUCUUCAGGCCCCCCAGCUCAAUGAAUCAGCGCUUCCAUCCUGUGUCCCGUGGGACGCCAAACACGCUCCACCCCCUGCUGAUUCUUUUCAGUUAAGUGAAUAACAACUUCGGUGUUCAUUGUCGAAGGGCUAUGCAGUGGCGUGACUUGCCUUAUUAAACUCUUUGAGCACACCAAUCCAUAAGACAUUUCUUUUUUUUCCUUUGCCAAAGGGAACUUUGACAACUCCAUUCCAGGGCACGAAAGCAAAACUGAGCAGUCCUGUGUCUUCCUGCCCCGUCAGCGACAGGUUUGGAUAAGACCAGUCUCAAGGACCUGGUGGGUUUUGCCCCUUUGUCUUUCUCAAGGCUACAUUGUGGAUAUAAUAUUCCUGGUCUGUCACAUAAAUGCCUUUUCAUCUCUCCCCUUUCAAAGUCCAGUUUCCCCCAACUCACCAAGUGGUUGCGGUGCAGCUGUCUCCCACAUUGUUUGGGAUGUUUUUACUUUCCUUGAUUAUGUGUCUGUUAGACCUGGUGCGGCUGAUUUAGUAACCAGACCUACGACACUGGCAACCGGAUUUGUCUGACGGUCAGUCAAUGACAGUGCACUCAGUGAGACCGUCCAAAUAUUUCCAUUUUUCUAGACCCUGCAUUUGGAAUGAAGCUGUCCUUUAAACUCCCCACCAUGAAGUGACCUUCUACUCCCUGAGCUCCUCUGGCUUCCUGGUACAGAGGCGUUGGACAGCCUCCUUUCUCCGCCGCAGCACACUCACCGUUGCAGCUCUGAGAACUGGAGUCUCUCUCACGGUUUUCAAUGGGACCAAUUCAGCGGGGACACAAAUACCCCUCAUGGGAGACAUAUUGGUAUCUCUGGAGGGGUGUGUGCAUGGUGAAAAAUAUAUUCAGUAUAAUUAUUUUUCCACAAUAUAAACUGCAAGACAGAGAGGCUAGAUUCCCUUAGCCUGAGAGGGAAUCAUGGAUAACAGAAAAUAGAGGGAAUAUUCUAUGGGCCUGAGUUAAACACAGGGUGACUGCACGUCCCGG